AUAGAAGUUGAACAUACAUCUAACUUUUUUUAUUUUUUAUAAUGUUAAUAAUAAUGUUUUAACUUUAUAUUUUCUCUGAGUUUGAACAUACAUCUAACUCUUGCCAAGCAUCCAAGAAAGGAGUCCUCAUUCUGAGUGAGUUUGCAGGUGCAGCACAAUCGCUCGGUGCUGGUGCCAUUUUAGUAAAUCCAUGGAAUAUCACAGAAGUUGCUGCUUCCAUUGCUUAUGCUUUGAAUAUGCCAGCUGAUGAAAGAGAAAAGAGACACCAGCAUAAUUUCAUGCAUGUAACAACUCAUACAUCUCAAGAAUGGGUUGCAACCUUUGUUAGUGAACUUAAUGAUACUAUUGUGGAAGCUCAACUGAGGACUAGGCAAGUUCCACCUCUACUUCCUAUGAAAGAAGCCGUUGAUCACUAUUUGGAAUCCAAUAAUAGAUUGCUUAUACUGAUGGAAUAACAAAUAUACUGGUAGAAAUGAAUGUUAUAGCACCACAUGCUUUUGUUUCAUAAGUUUGGUUUACCCACAUUGUGAAAAUAUUGUGGGUAAUCAACCAACUUAUGAAAAGUUAGUUGAACGACUUAAUGAUACAACUUCCCGCCUUAAUGCUACUAACGAACAACUUAGUGUAGUUGUGGAUAUACUUCGUCAUAACAAUUUGAUGGCACCACCUCCACCACCUCCAACAGACCAAGCUUCAGAUGUAAAUU